AAUGUCGGCCCAAUAAAGCGUCACGCGUUAUGUACAGUAACGUUCAUAAGUAUUCGAACGCCGGCGUGGGUUUCGAGUGACGGGUCCCGAUGUUACCGAGAGGUUAUGUUCGCUGACUAAACUUUCAGCUUUCGCAUUGGAUUUUAAAAGUUAAUUGCGUGUCAGCUAUGAUUUCUAAUUAAGCAACGCCCUGUCGGAGGGGGCAAUCAAAAUGUGACGAAGCAGGGUAAAAUGAGGGAAUUAAUGCCGGAGACCCCUAAAUUGAUCGAAGUCACACCGUUCAGGGUCGAAAUUGGAUCAGCGAAGGAAAAAACCAAGGAUGUUAAGUGGAACGACAUCGAGUCACUCGAGAAAUUCAUUUGUUCAAUCAAGGAAAGAUACUUUUUGCCUAGGGACUUUUUUUCAAACGGCGGUCAAUGAUGCAACCAGUUUUUGGUCGUUAAACGACAAAUAAUUCUACGUCUGAGACAACGAUUUGGUCCAUUAGCCGUACAUCGUACAA